AAUUAUCUGACUUGAUCGGUGAACUUCAGUCUUUGUUGAAUGGAACCGGAGAACAAUCAGAAGGUGACUUUGAAGCGAUCGCAUCACAGGUGCGCCGACUGGCAGCUGAGGUCCGGCAACUUGGCUCGUCACG